rnacentral:tRNA from 1 species
GGGCUAUUAGCUCAGUGGUAGAGCGCGCCCCUGAUAAUUGCGUCGUUGUGCCUGGGCUGUGAGGAAGAAUUAUCUACUCCAUCCGACUAGUUCCGGGUUCGAGUCCCGGGCAACCCA